UCCAAGACAGGCAAGCCGGUACGGAUUAAAACCAAACGAGCAUGUUGAUAGCAGCUUUGACCUGCUAAAUACGCAAUGAGAUCAUCUGCAGUCACUGCUGCCCCCACAAACUUUCCCAGGACUUUAAAAUGAAGCAAACUUAUCAUUUGGACUAAUUCACUAGACACUAGUUUUGCUCUGCUAGCUAUGAACACACUGGUUCAGGUGAAAGGGCACAGCACAAGUUUUUAGUUACCUUUCGGAGAAAGAUCUGACCGCAGCAAACACCUCAUCUGACGUAUCGGCUCCUCGGAUAAUCUCGAUCAGUUUCAUUACCGGAGGAGGGUUGAAGAAGUGCAUGCCUAUCACCUGCAGUCCUGCACCAUGGUUAAUGCCGAAGGUAAGUUUCGCCCAAAAUUACCGAUGCACAUGAUUCUAAGGAAGAAGCUUUAGGCAAACACUGUACGCAUACUUGAUAAAGUUGAAUAAAAUCACAAGAAGCUUUCGAAGCUCAAGAGUUCAAGAUGUGAGAAGGAUAAGGACAACAUUGUCCUCGAUAAUGUAUGACAAUUUAAAUGUAUAUGUUCUAGGACAUGAUUGUAAAUUCGCUAAACCUAUACUGCACGCCUAUAAAUAGAUGAACAGUGUCAUGCAUUAGAGACAUGAUUUUCCUUACCUCGAUAAGAACCAGACAUAUUUCUCUUCAUAAAAAGUUGUACCUUUCUCUCUCUAUAUUGUAAUCUUACGAA